UGCAGUGACCUGGUCUACGGCA
rnacentral:siRNA from 1 species